CUAAGUCUUCUAUCUGUUUUAUCUUUGUAUGAACAGAAGUACUUGAGGAGCCCAAGGACUUUUCUUGUGAAACACAGGACUUCAGGGCUUUGAACUGUACUUGGGAUCCCGGGAGUGACACUGGCUUAACUAAGCAUCCUUCCCAAAGCUACACUUUAUUUGAAUCAUUUUCUGGAAAGAAGACACUUUGUAAACACAAAAACUGGUGUGAUUGGCAAGUAAUUCAACAUUCACAGGAAAUGUACAACUUCACACUGGUGGCUGAAAACUACUUAAGGAAGAGAAGUGUUAGCACUGUUUUUAACCUGACUCAUCAAGGUGAGGCGAGUGUGCAGCCCGCUGUGGUCACUUACAUGUCUUGGUGUGACACACCGUGUGAUCAAGUGCAUGUGCUGUAGAUUUUUGCUCAAUUCACAUCUUAAGUGAAAGUGUUAACUGUACCCUCUGUUCAGUGACACUUCUCUUCAUGGGUGCCCGCAUGGCCUGUGGACCCCUAUUUAUAUGUUUUGAUAACAAACUAUUGUAAUAAGCCACAGCCUUCCACGUGCUCCUGCCACCAAGAUAAUUACAAGUCUAAAUUAUGUAUGUGUGUAUGUGUAUUCCCAUUUCUUGUGUAAUCUGAAAAAAUACAGUAUUUUUAUUUUAUUUGGUUUUAAUGGAGAUAGAAAAUAUCAAGCUGAAUAGUCUAGUAAUUUAUUUUUACAUUAUUAUAUUGCUUAUAUUUACCCCUAUUACUGAGUGUUGCUGUAGUCCACUCUUUUUCACUGCUGUAGAGUAUUUCAUUAUGUAAAUAAACAUUAAAUUAUUCAUGCA